rnacentral:rRNA from 1 species
CAGUAGCCGCGGUAACACGGAGGGUGCAAGCGUUAAUCGGAAUUACUGGGCGUAAAGCGCACGCAGGCGGUCUGUCAAGUCAGAUGUGAAAUCCCCGGGCUUAACCUGGGAACUGCAUUUGAAACUGGCAGGCUAGAGUCUUGUAGAGGGGGGUAGAAUUCCAGGUGUAGCGGUGAAAUGCGUAGAGAUCUGGAGGAAUACCGGUGGCGAAGGCGGCCCCCUGGACAAAGACUGACGCUCAGGUGCGAAAGCGUGGGGAGCAAACAGGAUUAGAUACCCCUGUAGUCCCUGUCUCUUAUAC